rnacentral:rRNA from 1 species
CCGGGCGACCGGCGCACGGGUGAGUAACACGUAUGCAACCUGGCCGUGACAGAUGGAUAACCGGGAGAAAUCCCGCCUAAUACAACAUAAUGCCGGGAGGGGACAUCCCCUGCCGGCCAAAGGGGGCGACCCCGGUCACGGAUGGGCAUGCGGCGCAUUAGGUAGUUGGUGGGGCAACGGCCCACCAAGCCGACGAUGCGUAGGGGUUCUGAGAGGAAGGUCCCCCACAUUGGUACUGAGACACGGACCAAACUCCUACGGAAGGCAGCAG